CCUGGCUCCUCCCUGCCUCUUGAUGUAGUACAUCGCUGCAGUAUUAUCUGUCAGGAUCUGCACCACCUUGCCUUUCAAGCGAGGCCCAGGUCGCAGCAGGUGGAGUGCACCAAGUCGAGACUUCUCUGCACCUGCUCCGGAGACCUGCCCUUGAUGAGCCAGUCGUCGAGGUACAGGAACAGAUGGACCCCUCACCCCCACAUCUGAGGUCCAGGGUGAGACUGCCAUGACCUCAACGGAGGGGGCGGACGGAAUGGUUUAAGCACCGACUGCGGUGUAUGGAUACCCAGCAAACAGAAGGUAGCCUGGGUGUCCUCCGUCCCGUGCAGGCUCACAUCAGUCUGCUCAGAAAACAGACCACUUCCGUCAAAGGAAGGUUUUGUAUAGAGGUCUGCAUCUCCUGGGAGAGACCUGCGAUCAGAAAACAGACCACUUCCGUCAAAGGAAGGUUUUGUAUAUAGGUCUGCAUCUCCUGGGAGAGACCUGCGAUCUGAAGCCAGGAGCUGCGCCUCAACCACUGAGGACGCCACCACCCUGGCUGCCGAGUCCACCGUGUCCCAGGCACAGCAGGCUGCCGAAGUGCC